CAGAGCUUUAGGCAUUUUCAUUUUUUUGCCACCAACAAAAUUGCACAGGUACAGCACCCCCAUAUUUGCAAUAUCCUGCAACCAUAUAAUUGCAUCAGUAUAUCCACAAGAACAAAAAAGGAGAUCAAAUGAUAACAACUACUAAUGCAAUUAAAAUGCAUACAAUAAUCCACAGAAAACCAUUGCUGCACCAAUAGUGUAUUAAAAAACACACUAUCAGACCAUUUGGCAUUGAUGUUGAAAACUGCUUCUUCAAAAAUAACCUUUUUGGAUGUUGGAAAAAAGCAGUUUCAAACUGAUAUUUAAAACAAUUUUUAAUUGCCUCUAAUCAACAUAUUCAAGGUGAUGCUUUCUCAACAGCAAGUCUAACAACAAUGCUAGAUCUUAUAUAGGUUUUUCUUAAAAAAAAUAUACAUAUAUAUGUAUAUGCUUGACCUAUCUAUCAAACAAACACGAAAUAUGUUUUCAAGAAAAUGCUUACUUGACUAUCUACAGAACAAUUUUUUAAUUCAAAUUUCAAAAAAAGAAUGGAACAAACAAAGAUAUAUUUAAGCAACAUAUCCAGUAAAUGCAAACUUCUUCCAGUUAUUAAAGCAAAACAGAAAUGAAUAACAGUGUUUUGUACCAAGAAUACCCAAAGAGCUACUUGUUUAUCACUCAUGUAAAGGUCAUAGUUAUUAAGGCACAGAUGCACUAAGGUGCUAAGGGGUCGUAGAGGCUAAGCGGCAAGCGCGAGGCACAGGGAACAUGCUUGAGAGAGAGGUAAGGACAAAUAAAAAAAUAAAUAAAAUUAAUAUCUAAUAUUCAUAACAAAUUAAUAUAUUAGAACUAUUUAACCAAAUUUUAGAAAGUUAAUCACCAAAGCAUUAAUAUCAAGCCAACAAAUCAUGAUGGAUAGGAACACAAAACAAACAUCAUUAGGAGAAAAUUUGACAAAAUGUAAUUAAAUUCCUCAUUGCCUAUGCAGAAGUGAAGAAAAGAUGUCUGUAGCAUGUAAUGAUGUUUCUUAGCUUGGUUAAAGCUUGAACAUAUGAGCUCUAAUUUUCAAAAUUUCUAUUCAAAAAACUCUAAAAUUCUAUCAUAACAUAUGUCAUAUUCCCUCUCCAACACCCCCCACCCCUUAAAGUAAAUAAAUAGGCAGGCCUACGGAAAUCUUUCUACAGAUAUAUAUUUUCCAGUGCCAGAAAUAUUUUUUGGAAAUGCAAGACAGAAAAAUAAAUGGCAUAAAAGUCAUUACCUGCUUCUCCUCUAAAGAACCUAUCUUCCCAUCCUGCAACAAGAAGAAAUUAACAGAUUAUAAUAAAUUCAACAAAAGGAAAAGGAGGAAAUGGAGAAGAAAAAGGGAAGAUAGAAUGUAGCUACUAAUGAGAUUGCAAAUAAUAGACCAUUUUAAACUUUCAUUACUAUUGAAAUCUUUGUUCUUUAGAAAAGUUGAAAAUAAAAACUCAUGAUAAAGACAACCAACGUUUUCAGUACAAUCGCCACAAAUGAAGUGGAACUUUCAAUAAAAUGAAUCUGCUUUCAGUAAAAGACAUUAGGGGGAUUAAAAUAAAUUAGAAGACAAGUCACCAACAGCAGCCACCAGUGCUAAAAAGACAACAAGUUCCCCGUUGCUACCUAUGUAUUUGGACAAAACUG
rnacentral:misc_RNA from 1 species